UCUAUGCUGUGAUCUUAAAGCAGACAGCCACUCAAGGCCCUAGCAGGAUCGGCACUUGUGUCUCCUUUCGGGGGUGCCAGCCUUCUCGCCUUGAGUUUGUUUUCUUCCUGAAACUCUCCAGUCAUCACAAGCCUAUGUGACCAGAUGCUCAGCCCCUCUGAGUUCUGGCAUCUACUACUUCUGUUUCUUCAGCUCCAUCCAAUCCUGUUGGUCCCAGUCCUGGCCUUGACUUUGGCUACCAAGCACUCACCUGGCGUCUACCUCUCCUGAACCCGGCUUCUUAAGGAUACCGAAGUAUAUGGAGGGGGGCACAGCUGUCUGCAACUCCAGCUCAGGUGAUCUGACACCCUCUUUUGGCCUCCACGGACAGCUAAACGCACACAGUUGCAGAACGACCCAGAUCAUCGGUGGAUAUUCAGCAUGACCUCAUCAAUGCAAGCAGUGCCCAGACGAAGAAUGAGGACAUCAGCAGCCCCACCCCCACCCCCUUGGUAUCUCCCAGCCUCUUUCAACCACUGGCCAAACAAGGAGCCUCUAUCCUGACCUUUAACAUCGAAGAUUGGUUUGGGCUGGUUUUGAGUUGACAUAAAUGGGAUUGCCCAGUACACAUUCCUGUCUGGAUUCUUUGCUCCGCCUUAUGUUUUCCAGCUUGGCCUGUGUUUUGCAGAGCAAACCAUUCAUUUUCCACAGUGCAGUAGAGCGUUCUACACUUCCAGAGUGUGGAACACAAUUAAGAGUUCAUGGAGAAAGAGAAGAGCUGGAGAGUGAGCGAG
rnacentral:sRNA from 1 species